AGAGGGAUAGCUGGGUCAAACGGUGGUUCCAUUCCCAAUUUUCCAAGUAAUCUUCAUAAUGCUUUCCAUAUUGGCUACACACCAAUUUGCAGUCCCACCAGCAAU
rnacentral:pre_miRNA from 1 species